rnacentral:misc_RNA from 1 species
UGGGUCCAUAGUUUUGGUCUGCUCUGGUUUUUCCUCUAUCGGCAAUUCUGGAGGGCAAGGGGGUAGCACAUCUGCAGUAUCUGACUCGCCAUCUUCUUCAUCUGCUGUUCCAAUCCCAGGUAUCGGGUUUACAGAUGCAGAGUAUGUAAAAUGGUAACUUUCAACCGUGAAGUAACUCGAGCAGUAAUCAUACACAGAUUUACCAAUAGAGUUGAACACAGCCACAGCGUGGCAGCAAGGCAGACCACUUUGUUUCCACUCAAAGCACGUGCACUCACGGUUUUCAAUAUUCACAACGUG